CGCGCGUGCGCGCGGCCAGGCAGCCUGGGCGGCGGGUCUUGCUUGUGACGGACCGCGGCGUCCGGUCCUGCCCGUGACGGCGGUGGCGGCCAAUACUGCCUGUAACAGCUGCGGCGGCUGCUCCAGACACCUGCGGCGGCGCCGGCGGCGACCGCCCGGCGGCCGCGGAGAUGUUGCCCCUGGUGGUGCUGCUGCUGGGCUCAGCGUGCUGCGGUUCAGCUCAGCUAAUAUUUAACAUAACCAAAUCUGUAGAAUACACUGCUUGCAAUGAAAGUGUUACCAUCCCAUGCUUUGUUAAUAAUGUGGAGGCAACAAACAUUAAUGAAAUGUAUGUAAAGUGGAAAUUAAAAGGAAAAGACAUUUUCACCUUUAAUGGAGCUCUGCAAAAGGCCACUCAUGACGAUAAGUUUAAGAGUACAAAAAUCAUACCACAAAAAUUACUAACUGGCAUUGCCUCUUUGGAGAUGGAUAAGGAAGAAGCUGUUGUAGGAAACUACACUUGUGAAGUAACUGAAUUAAGCAGAGAAGGCGAAACCGUCAUAGAACUAAAAUACCGAAUUGUUUCAUGGUUUUCUCCAAAUGAAAAUAUCCUCAUUGUUAUUUUCCCAAUUUUGGCUGUACUUCUGUCUUGGGGACAGUUUGGUAUUGUGACAAUUAAAUAUAAAGCCAGUCUUGUGAAGGAGAAAACCAUUUUAUUUGUUGGUGGACUAGUGCUCACUAUAGUUGUCAUUGUUGGAGCCAUUCUUUUUGUCCCAGGUGAAUAUUCAACAAAGAAUUCUUGUGGACUUGGUUUAAUUGUAAUUCCUACAGUGAUAUUAAUAUUACUUCAGUACUGUGUGCUUAUAAUAGGUGUUCGGAUUUCUCCCUUCACCAUUGCCAUAUUAAUCCUUCAGGUACUGGGCUAUGUGCUUUCUGUGGUUGGACUAAGCCUUUGUGUCUCAGAGUGCACCCCAGUGCAUGGCCCUCUUCUGAUUUCAGGUUUGGGUAUUAUAGCUCUAGCAGAAUUACUUGGAUUAGUUUAUAUGAAACUUGUUGAAUUCAGAGGCACGCCUUCGGUCAGUUGAAGGGCAAGAAGAGAAAAGCUUCCAGUCAGAAGACUAUACAACCUCCUAGGAAAGCUGUAGAGGAGCCCCUUAAUGAGUAACUGAAGUGAAGUGACGGACUCUGAUUUGGAAAGUAGUAAGACGUGAAAGGAGUACAAUUGUGUUUGAGCACCAUGGCCUUGGUUCACUGUUCAGGAGAAGAGAACAAGAAAGAUAACUGGUUCUCAUCUGUGGAAAAAAGUAAAUCAUUGACCCUUAAAUGAUUAUUGUUACAGUUUUUAUUCAAAGCAUUUGUAAUGUAGUUAAUAAAAGAAUUGUCAUCUGUGUUGUGUGCCCAAUUGAGAUCCAGUUUUUUGUUGUUAUUUUUACUCAAUUAGGGGCAAGAGUAGAGUGGCCAACUUCCAAGAAUGAUGCCUUUCAGAUCCCAGGGUCUCUUGACUUUAGGUCACCAGUUUAAAUUGGUUCAAGGUGAGAAUUACCUGGCACUACCCUCGUGGUUUCCCACAGAGCUCUAUGAAGAACAGUGGCUUCUGUAGAACCUUAGCAAACUUGGGUUCACGGCCACGUUGGCAGUUAUGGCUGGUGUUAGCCGAAUACGGUCUGUACCACUUCUGGGUCAAGGGAAUAGCAAAUUUAAGAACAGACAGGAGUUUGCUUGGGAAUAUCUUGAAUGCUGCCUGCGUGUGAUGUGAUCCGGCAGGAGAUUGUGGUCUUCAUUCUUGGGGGUUGCCAUUCACACAUUUCUUCCUUCGACAUACAGUGUAAUGAAUCCUUUCCAGAUUUAGAGUAAUUUUAUUGAUGGAUGUGUUUUUCUUUUAUUCACACAACCCUUUAAAUCCUGUCUUGUCCACCUGUUAUUUGCUUCUGCUGUACAAGAUGUAGCACCUUUUCUCCUCUUUGAACAUGGUCCAGUGACACGGUAGCAUCAUUGUAGAAAGGAGCCAGACUUAUUCUCAGAGAACUAUGUUCACACUUCUCAGCAAAAAUAGCGAUGGUUGUAACAUAUGUAUUUCCUUCCUCGGAUUUGAAGGCACAACCUACAGUGUCUCUUCACUUUUCUGAUCUGGGGCAUGAAAAACCAAGAUUGAGAUUUGAACUAUGAGUCUCCUGCAUGGCAACAUAAUGUGUGUCACCGUCAGGCCGACAGGCCCCCCCACGACAGGGUGGUUUUGUUACCAUUGUAUCUGUGUUGCAUGAUAAGCACUCAUCUUCCUUGUGUAGUCCUGCCUCUGUAAGCCCCUCACUCUAAGAUCGGAAAGUAAAACAAAACCCCCCACAUCUCCUACCCCCGUUAGAAGAAAAUUAACGUUUCUGACAGUCGUGAUCGCCUGGAGUACUUUUAGAUUCUUAGCACUCGUUUUCUUCCUUCGCGGGUGUGUGUGUGUGUGUGCGGGCGCGCGCACAGUGUAAGAUAGGCACGUGCAUCUUCUGUACGGACAACAGCAGGAUACCUACAGGAGAGCAGAUGUUAAUUUCAUGCUUUUAGUAACAACAUUAAAAAAGAUCUUUAUUGGGUGGAAUUAUAUUUGAUGCGAAUAUUUGAUCACUUAAAACUUCAAAAACUUCUAGGUAAUUUGCCAAGCUUUUUGACUGCUCACAAUACCCUCUAAAAAUACUAGUAAUUCUUCCUGUCUGUGUAAUAGUAAGACAUUCAUAUCUGUAGUUACAUUACUAAUAGUUAUUUCUUAGUCCACUGAAUGUUCCCAUGUGCCUCUUUUAUGCCAAAUUAAUUGUCAUAUUUCAUGUUGGGACCAAGUGGUUUGCCUCUGGCAAACCUUAUGACCUGCUGAUGCUUCUCAGAAAACUGAGCAGACUACGAAGACAGCUCUUGGAAAAAAAAAAAAAAAAUUUUCUUCCUAAUUGUGUUGCUGUCCAAAAUAUUAUCAUAUGUAGAGGGAGCUGUAUUCCUUUAUAUAAAUCUGAUGGCUCUUGCUGUUUUUUCCUCUGAAAAUAUAUUUUACUAAUAUUGUUUGUUACUUUGGAAAUCAAUUUUGAUGAAAGGAGGAGAAAAACAGAUGAAAAAGAUCCAGAUACCUAUUCUCUAUUAAGAAAAAGUAAGGCAUGAAAAUCUUUAUAGCAAACUUUUUUAUAAACUCAAGUUGUACCUUUUAAUAUGCAAUAAGCUCUCAUUUAUUUGGGGUUCAGUCUUGGGACCUAUCCGUCACCCUUUGUGUUCUCUUUAACACUGUCUUCUGAGGCACUCACUGCCCUAGACAACACACAGAGGAAGCAGGAGAGAUGCCAGGUGACAUCAACUCUUGUUCUUACUAGCUGUCAGCUUCUCUGGAAAAGGGACCACAUCAGCAGGAGCCCUCUUGCUUGGGCCUCAUUGGGCCAGUUCAUUCACUUUAAAUCAGACUUGCAGUGGCUCGCAAUUUUUGUCACACCAAAUUAGAAUUGUUAACAACGUUUUGACCAUCCUGUAUCUGUCCCCAACCCCCCUGACAACCUGCUUUUUACUCAAUGAUCCCAAUUUUUGCCAUUGACUAACACUCGAUUUUAUUUAGUGCACAUCCUCUAGUACCACUUGUCAUUUUUGCAACAAGUUCUCCAGUGUUUUUGGCCAAAUCCAGUUUUCCGUCUCCUUCAAAACAUUGUCUUCCAGCCCUCCCUCCCCUCCUGGCUCUCAUCUGAAGCUCACCCCCAUCUCUGUCGCUGCCUCUUUCAUCUCUUCUAUACCUUUCUUAGUACUUUAUGUGUGUCUGCUGAGUUCUGUCAGGUUUUUUGUCUUGCUUCUCUCAAUUUUGAAAUUCUGUUAUGGCAAGAGCUUUUUUAUUUGCCCCUUUCUCUUCCUGCAGUGUUUUGCAUUCAUUAGGUGUUCAGUGCGUAAGUUGGAUGAUUGAAAGUUGGCUGUAUGCAGAUUCCCCACUAUUUUCAGUAGGGUGAUUUAGAUCGUUUCCUUUUUUUGACAAAUUUCACAUGCCCUGAAAACCUUAAAAGGUGAUGACUUUUCACCUGGAAACUCCAGGUCCGUUUUGUUUAAAUUUCUGAGAAUGUCAAAAUGAAAAAAUGGGGCUAUCCCAAAAUUUGAGAGUAUUGCUCAUGCCAGGAUGCUAUCUAUAGUCAGUUUAGUAAAUGACCAACCAAAUUGUGAUUUGAGUUAAUAAAGCUCAAAAAGUGAUACGUUUACUCCUCCAUCUCAUUAAGAAUCAAGCCCAGUAUCACCUAGAUAUUUUUUGUCCUAAAAGGGGUAUUCAAAAACAGAUCUGUGGGAUGUGUAUGAAAAUACAUACUCCAAUGGCAUUUACAUGCCAUUGGAAACCGGAGAAAGGAUUGUUGGGCAACACUUUCUCUUUUUAUUAUGUUUUAUUUAAUGGAGAGUUUGUUUAGAAACCUUAGUUUCACAUGUGUCCUAUUUUCAAAAUCACUAACUGCCAUCACCCACUGGGGUCCUUUUUUAAGUCAUUUUCUGUGGAUAAUAGGGAUAAUCCAGGUAACUUUUAAGAGCUAAGCAGUGAACAGAAAGUUUUCCUGCCUUUGGCUUUUGACAGCUCUUACUUAUCAUUUAAGACCAGCUUUCCCAUAAAUUUAGCCUUUUGAAAAAAAGAGCAUUUGUAAUAAGUUUCUCUGUAAGGCGACAUCAGUGGAAUCUUAAAAGUGUUGUUAUCAGGGUUGGUGAGAGAAGGAAACAUUUCUGUUUUUAUUAAAUGGAGCAUUAUUUACAAAAAGCCAUUGUUGAGAUUUAGAUCCUACAUCAUAUAAAUAUCCAUUAACCAUUCUAAAUAAAGAAAACUCCAGUGUUGCUAUGUGCGAGAUCCUCUCUUGGGGCUUUUUUCCAUAGCAAUUAAAGGUGUGCUAUUUGUCAGUAGCCAUUUUUUGCAGUGAUUUAAAGACCAAAGUUGUUUUACAGCUGUGUUACCGUUAAAGGUUUUUUUUAUAUGUAUUAAAUCAAUUUAUCACUGUUUGAAGCUUUGAAUAUCUGCAAUCUUUGCCAAGAUACUUUUUUUAUUUAAAAACAUAACUUUGUAAAUAUUACCCUGUAAUAUUAUAUAUACUUAAUAAAACAUUUUAAGCUAU